AGCGACGCGGUGAAAACUCACCACGUCGAUACAGCUGUUGCUAAAACUUUGGGAGAAUUGCAAAAUUAAUCUAGUUUGAGUAUGAUUUUUUUGAAAAAAAAACUACGAAAAACCUUUAUUCCAAACUCUUGACUAUGCAACAAUUAUGUAAGAAUACUAUCUUAUAUAUACUGUUCAACAAAUGGUUUAAAUUUAAUAGUUUUUAACAAAAUAGGAAGUUUUGAAAUAAGCAGCAUGGCUAUUCUCUCCUUUCGUGUUCCGGUACUAAUGUCAGAAUAGCUUCCUGUCUGUGGUUGCUGGUGACUUGGCGGCGUUUCAUGGACUAAAUUGAAAUAUUUAAACUCGAAAAUGCUCGCUCGUCUAUGUAGCGAUUUCUUUUAUAAUUUAAUAUUAUAUUUAUGACCUCGUAUAUUGCAAAUAUUUAAAGAAAAGUCUUGCAUUCGCGUCGUAGAAUUUGUGAAUUUUGGAAGCGAACUUGGUUUCCGGUGCAAGCUUAUAGUAAACUCGUGUUGUAUAUAAAAGUUAUUUGAAAAGAUGCAUUUAAUUUUUGUCUUUCUUGUGAUGUUAUCUACUUCGCUUUGUGCCAAGGAGAAAUGUGAAACGUGUAAGGAUAUAGUUACAAAAUUUAAAGAGGUCUGUAUGUUUGUAUGUAUGUUUUUUUGAUUUGUUGAUGUGAAAAUUAAAUUUUUGCAUUGAAAGAAUGAGGUGUUUUGGUUUUUCAAGGGCAUGGAAAGGACAUCGCGGCAUAAUUUUGGUGGGGGAAAUACGGAUUGGGAAGAGACACGACUGGGUACCUGGGCUGACAGGUAGGGUUUGAAAUAUUUUGCAAUUUUUUUAAGUCUUGAUUCAGUUAAUUUAAAAAAAUAUGAAUGAACAAGUGAAUGAAAAAAUGGAAUGUUAGGGAAUGAAUGAACAAGA